rnacentral:rRNA from 1 species
GUGUACGUUGCAAAGUACUCAGAAGAAUUGUGGUAAGAAGUGAAAUACAAAUCGGACUAGGAUAUAGCUGGUUUUCUGCGAAAAUUGUUUUGGCAAAUUGUUUAUGAAUGUAUAAAUAGUGGUAUAGCACUGAAUACUUUGAGGGAGUAUUGUUAUAUUUAUCUCGAGUGUUUAAUCUCAAAAUAACUAUUUAUUUUAUGUAAAUAAUCAGACUAUUUGCGAUAAGGUAGAUAGUCAAAAGGGAAACAGCCCAGAACAGUUAUUAAAGCUCCAAAAUUAAUAUUUAGUGAAAUAAAAGUUAUUGGUAGUCUUUUACAGUCAAUAAGUGGGCUUGGAAAUACCCAU